GUCUCUGUGGUCUAGUCGGUUAUGACGUCGGUCUCAUAAUCCGAAGGUCCGCAGUUCGAUUCUGCGUAGGGACA
rnacentral:tRNA from 1 species